rnacentral:lncRNA from 1 species
AUUGUUCUUUGUUUGAGAAGUUGAAACAGGUAUAAUCCAAGACAACCGUGCAAGAAGCAGGUGUCACCCAACGAAGAAGGUACAUGAGUACAAGAAACAGUUUGGCAACAAGGGAUCCACUCGAAAGGUAAGUUUCCACGAGAUUCCCUUUUAUCUUCUACUAAAAUAAGAAAAUUCAAAAAAGGAGGUCAGUUAGUAUCCUUGAACUUUGUCCCCAGCCAGUCAGCUUUAGGGUAUUAAACCCUAAACUGAACUUUUUUCAUUUAGUCAGCAUUAGAGUUUUAAACCCUAAACUAAACUUUUAUCCUUUAGUCAGCAUCAGGGUUUUAAACCCUAAACUGAACUCUUUCCUUUAGUCAGCGUUAGGGUUUUAAACCCUAAACUAAACUUUUCCCUUUAGUCAGCAUCAGGGUUUUAAACCCUAAACUGAACUCUUUCCUUUAGUCAGCAUUAGGGUUUUAAACCCUAAACUGAACUCUUUCCUUCAGUCAGCAUUAGGGUUUU